rnacentral:rRNA from 1 species
CCUACGGGAGGCUGCAGUAGGGAAUUUUCCACAAUGGGCGAAAGCCUGAUGGAGCAACGCCGCGUGGGUGAAGAAGGUCUUCGGAUCGUAAAACCCUGUUGUUAGAGAAGAAAGUGCGUGAUAGUAACUGUUCACGUUUCGACGGUAUCUAACCAGAAAGCCACGGCUAACUACGUGCCAGCAGCCGCGGUAAUACUUAGGUGGCAAGCGUUAUCCGGAUUUAUUGGGCGUAAAGGGAACGCAGGCGGUCUUUUAAGUCUGAUGUGAAAGCCUUCGGCUUAACCGGAGUAGUGCAUUGGAAACUGGGAGACUUGAGUGCAGAAGAGGAGAGUGGAACUCCAUGUGUAGCGGUGAAAGGCGUAGAUAUAUGGAAGAACACCAGUGGCGAAAGCGGCUCUCUGGUCUGUAACUGACGCUGAGGUUCGAAAGCGUGGGUAGCAAACAGGAUUAGAUACCCCAGUAGUC